AAAAUAUUUCAUCCAUCUCCCUUUAGAAUAACCCGCUGGCCAUAGACAACUCCAUUUAGUCACUUAAUCCAUUCGGUUUACACUACUACACCAAGCACAUAUUAUGGAGUUGGAAACUAAACAAGACUCCCCACAAAGUCCCACUUUCAUACACUAAUUAUAAUGUAAUAAAGCAGAAGAAACUAUCACACAUAUAUUUAUUUCUCCAUUGCAUGGGAAUUAAUAGUGACAAACACUGGAUCUCCAUACACCAACCAACCACAACUGUAUAAAAGAUAUUUUUUCUUUCAAAUGGUAUCCACCACCACCUCAAACAUACAAAUUAAAUAUAGAUGGUUCACUUUUGGGAAGAUAUAUGCAGAGUUACUAGCACUCCAAGAGGGGCUAAAACUUGAAAAGAAUGGAUCUUGGGCCUAACUCAACCCCAAAAGCUAGCUUAUGAGGUGAGAAUUG
rnacentral:lncRNA from 1 species